GGGGCUGACUUGGAUUUCGACAGAUUUCUUGUCGCACAGAUAGCAUGCCAAGCGCUGCUUGUAAAACAGCAACAAAAAUAACUGUAAACAACACAGAUUACGCUCCAGCUUACGCUAAAGCUGCGUGAGUUAAUCUCCUUUUGGAGCUGGACUGAUUAGAAUUUCUAGCGUUUUAAUCACUCCAUAACCUUAAGCUAGACGCUUUUAAAAGGUGGUUCGCCUUUUAAACUAAGAAACAAGAACUCUUGAAACUACCUCAAGGUUUUAGAAAGUUGGACCAGAGCUAGUUUCAAGGCUAAAAAACUAACCAAUUUUCUAAGCAUUGUAGAAGUUUGUGUUUAGGACAAGAUUUUUGGACUGGGGUUCGAUUCCCCACAGCUCCACCA
rnacentral:tmRNA from 1 species